GGACUACUAGGGUAUCUAAUCCUGUUUGCUCCCCACGCUUUCGCACCUGAGCGUCAGUCUUCGUCCAGGGGGCCGCCUUCGCCACCGGUAUUCCUCCAGAUCUCUACGCAUUUCACCGCUACACCUGGAAUUCUACCCCCCUCUACGAGACUCAAGCCUGCCAGUUUCAAAUGCAGUUCCCAGGUUAAGCCCGGGGAUUUCACAUCUGACUUAACAGACCGCCUGCGUGCGCUUUACGCCCAGUAAUUCCGAUUAACGCUUGCACCCUCCGUAUUACCGCGGCUGCUGGCAC
rnacentral:rRNA from 2 species